rnacentral:rRNA from 1 species
GGAUUAGAUACCCUGGUAGUCCACGCCGUAAACGAUGCGCACUAGAUCCCGGAGGUUCUGACACCACCGGGGUCGAAGCAAAAGUAUUAAGUGCGCCGCCUGGGGAGUACGGUCGCAAGGCUAAAACUCAAAGGAAUUGACGGGGGCUCACACAAGCGGUGGAGCAUGUGGCUUAAUUCGAAGCAACGCGAAGAACCUUAUCCUGGGUUUGACAUGCAUGGAUUAACUCGAUGAAAGUCGAGCCACGCCCUUUGGGUGGAACAUGCACAGGUGCUGCAUGGCUGUCGUCAGCUCGUGUUG